rnacentral:rRNA from 1 species
GAACCCGCUAAGAAGUGUGUAACAACUUACCUACCGAAUGGAUCAGUCCUGAAAAUGGAUGGCGCUCAAGCGGGGGACUUAUUCUCAACCAUUGAAAUAAAUGUUAUAUUUCAAUGAGUAGGAGGGCGUGCGGGUUGCUUAGAAGCUUUUGGCGUAAGCCAGAGUGAAGCUGCCUGUAGUGCAGAUCUUGGUGGUAGUAG